ACCUUCGUGGUGUAAUGGUCAGCACGCUCGACGCGUAACCGAGAGGUCCAUGGUUCGAUUCCCGGCGAAGACG
rnacentral:tRNA from 1 species